rfam:Triticum aestivum genome assembly, contig: Triticum_aestivum_CS42_TGACv1_scaffold_642011_T_1DL-0.259630_7DL-0.185270
AUGGAAGUGAGGAUCCUUUCCCCAAAUGAUCGACUAUGAUUAUACUGUGCGCAACUGUAAUCCUUUAUCAGAGGAUUCCAAGCCAGAAAUCUGAUCCAU